rnacentral:misc_RNA from 1 species
UAUUUAAUUUGGUAUUUUAAACUUAGGAUUAUAUUAAGUGCAAUUCACAUAUUGCGGACCGAAUUAAUAAGAUUCACGAAUUACGUUCCGAAUUGGCAUUCCAUCUAAACUUACUUCUUACGUAUCUUAUAUUUAGUUAAGUGGUGUAUUGCGUACUUGUACCCGUACCACAAUCCAAAACGCACUGUGUUCCAGGUAACUAUGUUUUGGAUGCCAUGGUGUGAACACUCUCUCUAAAGAUCUUUGUACCUCUCUCAUGCAUUAUAGAGAGAUUCAUUUUCCCUUUGUUGGAAUGUAUUAAGUUCGGUAUGGAGUUUAGCUGUCUUUUCAGGUAGAAAAUAUCUAACUAAGAAAGCUUGUGAUAGAUCAUCCCAUAUAUCCAAGUUAUCCAACAAGGUAGGUAGCAACAUAUUCUAUAGAAGGAUUACCUUAUGACUUUUCCCCUCGUCGGACUGAUGUUAUGGUUUUAUUUGGAUUGGAGGAAGAGGAGCUAUCGGAGACUUCAAACUGGCGUAUGGGACCGAGAGAAAGAAAGGACG